UACGGGGGGGGUAAGCGUUGUUCGGAAUUACUGGGCGUAAAGGGCUCGUAGGCGGCCAACUAAGUCAGACGUGAAAUCCCUCAGCUUAACUGGGGAACUGCGUCUGAUACUGGAUGGCUUGGAUUCAGGAGAGGAGAGUGGAAUUCCCAGUGUAGAGGUGAAAUUCGUAGAUAUUGGGAAGAACACCGGUGGCGAAGGCGGCUCUCUGGACCGAGACUGACGCUGAGGCGCGAAAGCGUGGGGAGCAAACAGG
rnacentral:rRNA from 1 species